rnacentral:tRNA from 1 species
GCACUAGUAGCUCAGCGCCAGAGCGCCGGUCUUGUAAACCGGACGUCGAAGAUUAAAGCCCUUCCUACCGCU